rnacentral:lncRNA from 1 species
UCUUAGGUGCAGGGAGAUACCAUGAUAAAAGGGCAGACAAUGUUGCUGCCCUCAAGGAGCUGACAUUCUAGUGGAGGAAGACAGAUGCAAAAAGGAAUGUAUGCCCACAUCACACAACUAAAUUGUGGCAUGAUGGAGUUCAACAAAAUAUGGAUACAGAGAGCAAGGUUUGAGGGUAAAUUUAACCAAGGUAGGGUAAUCAGAGGAGCCUGAUCUGAAAAGGCAGGAAUUAAAAUAAGCUCUAAAGGAUUAUUAGAAACUAGGGAGAGAGGAGCUGACUGGUAGAAAUGGGGAGUGUUUCAGGGAGAGCAAAAAGCCCAUUCAAAAACCUCAUGCAAAGAAGAGUUGGGCAAUUUGAAGAAUUGAAAUGAAACUCUAGGACUGGGCACGGAGAAUGUGAAGAAGUGAGGAGGGGUUGGAGCUGGAGAGAUAGGUGGGACUGGAUCCCAUACAACUUGAGUGUUGCUGGAGAUGGCCACUGGAGAGGCUGAGUCAAAUCAAUCUCCUCACCUGAGGACUUCCUAAGACCAGCGCACUGAAGGACCAGCAGCAACAACAACAAUAAUGCUAAUGCUCCCUUAUGGACAAGACUGCAAUUCUCUGCCUGCUGAAGCUCAGCUAUGACCACGUGACUUGCCUUGGCCAAUGAAAGAGGAAGAGUAUGUAACACUGCUGAAUGGAAGCAAGUGGCCCCUGCCCCUGCUGCAGAGAUUCUAGACAUGUGUGCCAUGCUGGAGCAAGGAGACAGGGAGUCCUGGAGAAAGGAGACAUGGAACAGAGCUCCCAGCCCAGUCAAUAUGUAACAUGAGUGAGAAAUAAAUAACACUUUGUUGCUAGAAGUUUUUUUUAAACUGAAGUAUAACUCAGCUUCCCCUGACCCAUGCAGAAAGUCAUCUAUCAAUGUUAAGUAUCACUAAAUUUAUUUUACAGAAGAAGAAUCUAAAGCUCAGAGUAGUGGUCUCAAUAUCACUCAGCAAUUAUGUGAUGGAAGCAUACUGAAGGCCCACGUUUUAAAGUGGACACCAAGGGGAAUAUAGCAUAAAUAGAAAUUUUCUAACUGCAGGGAAUUCUUGCUAUACAACUGCAAAGAAUAGGCCCCACUACUUCCUAGCUGUGCCUCAAUUUCCUGAUCAGUUAAAUGGGACUAAUAAAAGAGCAGCUAGUGGCUGGGUGCGGUGGCUCACGCCUGUAAUCCCAGCACUUUGGGAGGCCGAGGCGGGCAGAUCAAGAGGUCAGGAGAUCGAGACCACAGUGAAACCCCGUCUCUACUAAAAAUACAAAAAAUUAGCUGUGCGCAGUGGCGGGUGCCUGUAGUCCCAGCUACUCGGGAGGCUGAGGUAGGAGAAUGUCGUUAACUCGGAAGGCGGAGCUUGCAGUGAGCCGAGAUCGCGCCACUGCACUCCAGUCUGGGCGACAGAGGGAGACUCUGUCUCAAAAAAAACGACAACAACAAAAAAAAAAAAAAAAAAAAAAAAGAAAGAGUAGCUAGUGCAAGAGAUGGAGAAGGGAUUAAAUGAAAAUACAUGUAAAUUGCUCAUAAGAUUAUCUAGAAUAAACCGAACAUUCAAAAAUGUUAGUUACUAUUAUUAUUAACAAUUGCUAUUAUAAUCCUAAUAUCACCUGUUUCUCAUCAGUCGGUGGAUACAAGCAAUUACAUUUACAUAAAUAUGUAAAGCAAUAAAGCCAAACCAGAGACUCCUAA